rnacentral:rRNA from 1 species
GUUGUAUGGUUAAGUGACUAAGCGUACACGGUGGAUGCCUUGGCAGUCAGAGGCGAUGAAAGACGUAGUAACUUGCGAUAAGCCCAGAUUAGGUAGUAACAACCAUUUGAGUCUGGGAUUUCUGAAUGGGGAAACCCACUUACAUAAGUAAGUAUC